GACGAAAUGGCCGAGGGGUUAAGGCGGUUGACUUAAGUACCUGCUUACUUGAUUUUCAACUUCUCGAAAGAGAGCGUGGGUUCGAACCCCACUUUCGUCA